UGAAAGAGAGGGGGAAGGGAAGCGAAGCCAAAUCGAGCGGCGACUGGAAUCGUUCUGACGGGAACAAAAGGAUGGAGGGAAAAGGAGAGGCGAAAAGUAACAGAAGGGAGCCCAUCAAGAGGCGGCACGGCUCCACUGCCUUCUUCGUGGUGCUGGAUUGCCUCUUCCUCCUCAUCUUCUUCUGCUUCCUCUGCUACUUCCUCCUCAAGAUCUGGCCCGGAUCAAAGCCCUAACCCCAACGAAAGGACCCGCAUUUUGUUGAUCCUGAAACCAAUCUAUUCUAUUCUAUUCUAUUCAUUCUAACGUCGGUAAUCUCAUUUUAUCCCCGAUGUUUUUGUUUCAAGUAUUAAAUUCGUACCACAGCAAUCAUCUUACGAUCUGUUCCAGAAAAAAAUUGCUUUUAAUUUCCCUUUUAUUGUUUGUUGGUUUGAAGCCGUUGUUGCUUUGAAAUCUGGCUGCCAGUUUAUACUAUAUGAUUUUUAUUGCAGAAGAUUGCUUGGAUGCAUUGUUCAUAUUACUGCUAAUUUCUGUGGGACUGUGGCUGUUUGGUUCACCAACUGUUUAUGUGAAAUAAUUCUUCAUCCAUCUUUGCCAUGAUAUGAAAAUGAGUGAAAGGAAUUAUAUGAAGAUUUAUGUUUUUCGUAUUUGCUCAUCUUCAUGUUAAACUUGACUUAAUCCCUCAUGCAAAUCUUCUUGAAUCAAGAGGAAGGUUACGUGACUUUUGAUCUAGUGUGAGGGAGAUAUAAGCAUCCGUAUCAUAAGCAUGUAGUUCUUGAUUCGGUAUAAUCUGCUGUGUCAUUUUUGAAACUUAGGCAUCACAGUUGGAUCUGAUUGUAAGAUGUUAUUUUGACUAUUGUUUUCUACAAGGAAAAGAAAGGACGAUGCUAGGGUACAUAGAGUUGAAAUUUCAUCCUGUCAUUCCUGAUGAAUGUGGUAUUAAGAUCAAGUUAUUUCUCCUUCAAAAGUGAGGACCAAAGGAUGAGGGCACUUUACUGCAAUUGAUAUUACCAGGAGCUUUUAACAACUGCACCUAAUAUAAUGAUUUUGCAUUCGAAUGAUUGGAUUAUUUUCUAGAUGAGUGGUGGUUCGCAUCAGAUGAUUCACCAUCUGAUUCACAGGAGGAAAAAAGAAUUGUUACUGCCCUCUUUCUCUAUCAUGAUCGAUAUGUUUCAGCAAUAUGGUUUUAUUAGGAAGAUAAGUUUGAAUGUGAAUAUUUGAGCUUUUCACCAAAUCAUCCAAAGCUAAGGAGCAGAGUCUUUGGUGCGGGGAAGAUGCUCUAAGUUGAAUGGUAGAGACCUUUACAGCUGCUAAAGAUGAAAUGGAGUGCUUGAAUCCAUUUGUAGGACUGCUUACGCAGAGGAAUACGGACAUUGGUUGAUGCCUUUAGAAUAAAGAUGUGAAUGAAGUUGCAUCAAAGCAUAUGCUGUAAAAGCAGCAUGAUCUGAUCAUGUAACUUAUGACCAGAGAAUUAAGAUCUUAAUACCAAAUUCUAGUGCUUUGUUUUCUGGCUCAACAGAGAAGUGCAAUAAAAGAAACGAUGACAAAGAAUAAUACUACUCUGUCCGUCCAUAAAUUUUUGGCUCAUCCAUCUGCAAUUGCUAAAAAAGAAUUAACUUUUUUCUUUGUUUUGUUGGUUGUCAAGUGUAGAAGAUCAAGAAUUCAGAUGCUGGAGUAACAAUCUGCAGUCUGCAGGUCUUGUCAUUUAAAUCAUGGAUUGAAAAUAAGACAUUAUAUGUGGGUGACGCAAAAUAGAAUGCCAUUUCAUGUGGCUUCGCGUAUCAGUGCUCAAUCCAAAUUAUCACGUUGCAGGACUCGAAAGUUCAUUAGGUUUAGGGUUUACCGUCUCCGUCGUCGCUCGACCAUCCACAGAGACCGAGGCGCCGGCGGUCGAAGCACCGGAGGUGAAGAGUUGAAGGCAGCUGUUCCUGCCGUCAUCGCCGCAGAGGAGGUCUUAAUCUGGGCCGUCCCGGAGGAGCCAAACUGUCCACUUCAAGUUCCUCCGCGCCCGGGACUUCAAGGUGAAGGAAACCAUGACCAUGCUCAAGAACGCUCUGCUCUGGAGGAAGGAGUUCGGCGUCGGGAGCCUACUUCUCGGGGCCCCCGAGCUCAGCGACGACGUCGCUCUUGGCCACCGCCGCCUCCUGCGCGGCGACCUUCUCCUCUCCGGCCUCCGCCGCGGACUCGGCGGCCAGCGGCUCUCCCAAAGCUGGCUUCUUUGUUGUUUUCUGCGCCUAAGGGACAGGAUCGGUCGGCGGAAGCCGUUCGUCGAUUCUUUCUCCGUCGCCGCCGGCUCCGUUUCGGCGGGGUCCCGUUCUGGUGUGUCGGGUUUGGUGUCCAAGGCCAUGGUCUUGAAUUGGGUGCAGGUGAGAGAGAGAGAGAGGCCCAGCCCAUCCUCUCGUAAUCCCACGUUAAGCACGAGAGUCGCACGUGUCCUUCCCCGACCCCUAAUUCCUUCAAACGGUUCUCUCGACCUCCACUCCCCGCCGGAGUCGCCGCCGCUCCUCCGCCGGUGUGCCACCACGCUGGAGAACAUAGCGAACCCGAUGAGCGCCGGAGCUCCGCUGGGUUCCGCCUUCCCGCGUCGGCAUCAAACCUAAGAGAAAGCCCGCACUGACGAUAUAUAUGAAGACACUCGGGAGUUCCCACAACAAGGUAAGAUUUUUCAUGUGCCUUAGGUUUUUGACCUUUUCUCAUUAAAACAGAUGCAAGAGAUGCCAAAGAAGUAGAAUCUGGGAGCUAAUUGUCAAAAUCCCGUAUUUAUGGAACUUAGGUACUUGUUUGAUUUGAUUAUUUUUAUCAGUGAAAUGAUUAGGAAAUUCCGUGAUAAAGGUAAAUAGAAAACAGGUCUUGAAUUCCAUGUUCUUAUGAGAGCGUCGCUUGGUUUCCUUUGUGCUCAUUACAGUCAUCUUGUAUAAAUUGAACUUCUUGCGAAGCUAUUUUGACUGCCAUAUCAAGUCUAGCAUCUUAUUUAAUUUUUUCAUCAUAAACUUGAUUUGUGAUCUACUUGUUAGUAUAACGAAUUGAUAUAUAUGCUUUUAAUUUUCCUUAUGUUCUGUCCUGAUGACCAUCAAGUGAUUAUUUGUUCAACCCGUUCCUAUAGCUUGAGCUAACAAGCUUCAUUUAACAUUAAAAAAAUCCAUGUUUGUUGACACAAGAAUCACUGUUAUCAUGAUUCAAGUCAUGGUAUCACAUCAAGAUCUUCUUCAGGGGCAAUAGCACAGGAACCGGAUGUCUAGAUGAUGGUGACCUUCACCAACUUGCCCACUUUCUUUUUAUCACUUGGCUGUCUAAUCCAUCAAGAGAAUUGACUUUACAUGGGUUAAUCGAAUUAGCCUACUUGAUUUAGCUCAAUGCUGUCUGAUUCAAACUUAAGUACAAACCCAAUUAUCCUUUAGUACAAGCCGCCAUAUCCCAUUUAAUAAAAUGGGUACGGUAACGUCUAAAUGAGACCCCUUAUAGUAUUUAGUGGACAUUUUCCCAGGGUUUGUUUGAUUACCUUGGUAAGUUAUGUGUGGCCACCCUUGUGCAAGCCUUGAGACCAACUCCUAACUCCUAAUUACAUUGAACCAAGUCAGAUGAACUUGGUAACUGAUACCAGUACAGCUAUAGUGUUAGUUCCAAAACUGAUCACAAGGGCAACCUAUUGAAUCAGCAGGAUAUGCUUCCUGGAGAAAUUAGUUUCCAUCUAUGCAAACAUGUAUCUUGACUUAGACCAAACAGUAAGACUUAUUGUCCAUUUAGAUUACUAUAGUAGGUAUGUCACUUGUACUUUUUGUUUCAUGCUGUUCACAACAUGUCUAGACGGCAGAUACACAAUUGAGAGUUGCUCCUUGAAACAUGAUCAGGUAUCCAUCAAAUCUCAGAAAAGUUGAUGAAUUUUAAGCUUGAAAUUGUCUUCUAUGAUGCAUUGUCUGUUCAAUUCAGCCCUUAAAAAUUAGUAGUAAAUUAGUUGCCUUGGAUUGAAUUCUACUAAGUGGAAUUGUUCUGAGCUUUUUUUCACCAGUGUAAUUUUGCUGCCCUGACAAAAGGUUUUCUAAGGAGUACAGUUUUCUUCCCUCUGGAGCAGAAAUCCUUGUUGCAGCUUCUGUCAUUGUAUUUAUUAUAUGGCUUUACGCUUUGUUACAUUGAUCUUUCCAAAUGCCACUUGAUUCUCCUUUGAUCUAGAAAAUAUCAAUCACUUGAGAAAAAAAGAGGGUUAUAUUUGCAGCUUCCAACUUGUUGUGGAUGUGGCAAGAAAAUAUGAUGUGUUGCCAUUUGCAUAUAUUGGAAUGGUUUUAUUAUUUUU